GUCCUACGGGGCUCAUCAUUUUUUAAUACUUCCCAAUUUUCUAAAUCCUUAUUCAUCAACUCCUCGUUAGCUAUGAAGGCCUUCGGGUCGUAAAGCUCUGUCCUCAAGGAAGAUAAUGACGGUACUUGAGGAGGAAGCCCCGGCUAACUACGUGCCAGCAGCCGCGGUAAUACGUAGGGGGCUAGCGUUAUCCGGAAUUACUGGGCGUAAAGGGUGCGUAGGUGGUUUCUUAAGUCAGAGGUGAAAGGCUACGGCUCAACCGUAGUAAGCCUUUGAACAUGGGGAACUUGAGUGCAGGAGAGGAG
rnacentral:rRNA from 1 species